UAUUUUUUUUUUGGCUUUUUUUAUAACCUAAAGAGAACGUUUCUAGAACGUUCCCUGCAGGUUAUUUUUGGUUAACUGAGUUGCUGCAGAAAUUCAUAAGACAUACAAUGUAAGCGAUUUGAAAUUACAAUAAACUGAUAAAACACGCUAAAAAUGUAACCUUUCAUAGCAGCUGAAAACAAACCAAAUUUGAAAGUGAAGUGACAUUCAGCCAAGUAUGGUGACCCAUACUCAGAUUGUGCUCUGCAUUUAACCCAUCCGAAAUGCACACACGCAGUGAACACACACACACACACACUGUGAGCACACAGCCGAUUUUGUAAUGAGCUAAUCGGGGAUUGAGUGUUACUGUAAAUUCUGCGUGUUUUAAUGAGCGCGCGCUGAACAUUGGAGCGCGUUCAUUCAGAUUCAAACACUGGAGCGGAGGGAGUUGGCAUGGAAACGGGCGGUCGACAACACUGGCAAGCUGCACGCUCCGUGUCUCGCUGCUGUUUUCACUGAUUUCGAAAUGGUUAAGUGUUUUCGAACAAGUCCGUGAGCAUCUGAACCUUUAUCAGAGGAGUGCUUGAUGAUCUUCUGCAUCCCAUGAUGAGCAAACCUCCUGUCCAACAACAUCUCCAAGGCACACUGAUCCAUAUGACUAGCAGGAUUACCCCAAACAUACACUAAUGCUAUCCUUACCAAUUUCUGAAAUAAUAUUACAAUUUAAAAUAGCAGUUUUUGGUGAAAUGUAACUUAUUCCUGUGAUGUGCAGCUGUAUUUUCAGCAUCAUUCCUCCAGUCUUCAGUGUCACAUGAUCUUCAGAAAUCAUUUUAAUAUGAUG